UUCACGGAGAGUUUGAUCCUGGCUCAGGACGAACGCUGGCGGCGUGCUUAACACAUGCAAGUCGAGCGAGGCCCUCCCUUCGGGGAGGUGCCCUAGCGGCGAACGGGUGAGUAACACGUGGGCAACCUGCCCCUAGCACUGGGAUAACUUCGGGAAACCGAGGCUAAUACCGGAUAUGACCUCUGAGGGCAUCCUCCGGAGGUGGAAAGGAUUCUGGCUAGGGAUGGGCCCGCGGCCUAUCAGCUUGUUGGUGGGGUAACGGCCCACCAAGGCAACGACGGGUAGCCGGCCUGAGAGGGCGACCGGCCACACUGGGACUGAGACACGGCCCAGACUCCUACGGGAGGCAGCAGUGGGGAA
rnacentral:rRNA from 1 species